rnacentral:piRNA from 1 species
UGAGCUAAAUGUUGCUAUGGUACUAUUUUG